CAGUAGCCGCGGGAAUACGUAGGGUGCAAGCGUUAAUCGGAAUUACUGGGCGUAAAGCGUGCGCAGGCUGUUAUAUAAGACAGAUGUGAAAUCCCCGGGCUCAACCUGGGAACUGCAUUUGUGACUGUAUAGCUAGAGUACGGCAGAGGGGGAUGGAAUUCCGCGUGUAGCAGUGAAAUGCGUAGAUAUGCGGAGGAACACCGAUGGCGAAGGCAAUCCCCUGGGCCUGUACUGACGCUCAUGCACGAAAGCGUGGGGAGCAAACAGGAUUAGAUACCCCUGUAGUCCCUGUCUCUUAUAA
rnacentral:rRNA from 1 species